rnacentral:lncRNA from 1 species
AAGUCAUAUAUAUACAUAAUGCAAUACUACUCAGAAACAAAGAAGAAUGAAAUUCUGUCAUUCACAGCAACAUAGGUGGCACUGGCCAUUUGGUUUAACGUAAUGAACAUAGGCCAUUAUGUUAAGUGGAAUGAGCCAAGCACAGAAAGGCAAAUACCACAUGUUGUCACUCAUAUGUGGGCAGUAAAAAAGUGGAUCUCAUGAAGAUAGAAAGUAAAUUGGUGGUUGCUAGAGGCCAGCAAGGGGAGUGGGAAGAGGAGAUUAAGAGAAGAAAAUAUAAAUGUAUUUAUCACCACUAAACUGUCCUCUAAAAAUGUACAGAUGGUAAAUUAUAUAUAUAUAUUUUUUAACUCAAUAAAAAGUUAAAAAAAUUCUGCUGUGUGUUUAUAGGGCACAUGUACAAGACUUUCUCUAGGGUUGUAUCAGUUUUCUAUUCCUGCUGUAACAAUUUACCACAAAUUCAGUGGCUUAAAAGAACACAUUUUUGUAAGAUUUGAGUCAGUUUUAAAAAACACACACAGACUUAUUGUCUUAGAAUUGUUUUGGUUGGAAAUCUGGCAUGGCUCUCACUGAACUAACAUCAAGAUGUUGGCAGGCUGCAUUUCUUUCUGAAGGCUCUAAAAGAGCAUCUGGGUUGUUGGCAGAAUUCAGUUCCUUGUGGUUGUAGAUCCUCAGUUUCUUCCUGGUUGUAAACUUUGGGUCAUUCCCAGCUUCUAAAGGUCACUGGCUUUUCUUGGCUUGUGGCCCCCUACCACUGUUUUAAAAGCCAGUAAUAGCAGGCCACAUCUUUCUCAUACUGCCAUCUGUCUGAAUCUCAGCAUCCAGAAAAUAUUCUCUGCUCUCAAGGAAUUAUGAGAUUAGACUGGCUCACCAAGGUAAUUCAAGAUAAACACAAUCUGGGAAACAUUUUAUAAUACAGAGGGCCACACCAGAUUGAAUAUUGCCCCCAGGAAUGAAAUGAAAACAGGAAUGGAUUCUCCAGUAAGAGGGUAUCACAGGGCGUCAAACUGGAAAAUGUGGCACUGCCUGGAGUUUCUACCUGGUGAAGGGUGGCAGACUUUUCUCUUCAGAGGACUCUUGACAGGGUAGCAUCCAUUAUCUUGCCAAUUUACUACAACCUAGGCCCAAUCCUCAGUCUUAUAGGUUCAGAAAUUUA